UGGAAAUACUAACUAAUUCAAAACAAGCAUGCAUUCUGCAUUCUCAAACAAAAUAAUUGGAUUUACCCAUCAUUUACCAACAAACACCAAAGCAACCUGAUCCAGGUAAAAUCCAAAAAAAUCAAAGCGACACCUCUGUUACUCAAAUUUGCUAUUCAUGCACCAUUAAAAUAAUUUUAUUAACAAUAGACUAAAAGAGAGUGAACCUUUAUGUAGCAAGCUUCUUUUUCUCUUUGGAAAAUAACGAUGAACAAAAUCUCGGACGAAUCUGAGAUGGUUAUCUACCUCUGACCUUAUGCCGAAACCUCGCUGGAAACUCGAAUGAACAUGAACAAAACCCAACAAACUCGACGGACUCGACUCAGUCCAACCUUCUCAUUUUUAAUUCAGGUCUGGACGUAUUCUUUUCGUUGGUCGAUGAAGAAGAUGGGAUGUUUAUGGAGUUCUUUGGUCAUUUCUGGUUAACGUUGCUGGAGCUUAGGGGUGUUCAUGGGGUUCUGUGGCUGUUCUUGAUGGCCUUUUAUGAGAACGACGGAUGGUUUUGUUUCUUGAAUAACGGGACUGUUAUGGUGGUUAUGGAGAUGAGGGGAAGGUGGGGGAUCCGAUCUUAUCACUGUUGCGGUUGAAGCUCCAUUGUAGCUCUAUGUUAUUUUCAUUGUUUUUUAAUCACUGAAGAAGACGAUCUCAGGGGGUCCUUUUUUGGAGUUAUACGGCUGAAGCUUUUCA
rnacentral:lncRNA from 1 species